AUUGAACGCUGGCGGCAUGCCUUACACAUGCAAGUCGAACGGUAACAGGUCUUCGGAUGCUGACGAGUGGCGAACGGGUGAGUAAUACAUCGGAACGUGCCUAGUAGUGGGGGAUAACUACUCGAAAGAGUGGCUAAUACCGCAUGAGAUCUACGGAUGAAAGCAGGGGAUCGCAAGACCUUGUGCUACUAGAGCGGCCGAUGGGAGAUUAGGUAGUUGGAGGGAUAAAAGCUUACCAAGCCGACGAACUGUAACUGGUCUGAGGGGACGAUCAGCAACACUGGGACUGAAACACGGCCCAGACUCCUACGGGAGGCAGCAGUGGGGAAUUUUGGACAAUGGGCGAAAGCCUGAUCCAGCAAUGCCGCGUGAAGGAUGAAGGCCUUCGGGUUGUAAACUGCUUUUGUACGGAACGAAAAGCCCUGGGUUAAUACCCUGGGGUCAUGACGGUACCGUAAGAAUAAGCACCGGCUAACUACGUGCCAGCAGCCGCCGUAA
rnacentral:rRNA from 1 species